rnacentral:lncRNA from 1 species
UCAGGUUUUAUUCAAUUAUUAGAUUAGGAUUUUGGGAAAUUAGCGUAAAAGGUUUCUCCCCUCUGGUGACGCCAGCAUCACGAAUUGACAGAGGAAUGCUGCUCCAGCGAGGAGGCGAUGCGACCGGGCGACAAAAAUGGUGGAAAGAGUGGUGCCACUCAUGGAGAUGGCGUUGAAGUCAUGUAUUUGGGGCACCUCGACCCGCGAAGGGGAUGAUCUAUAUAUGGAUGGGAUUCGGGGAAGAUGGCGGCGCCUCCAUGGCUCCGACAGUGAGAGAAGAAACACGUCCCUGUUUGGACGUGGUUUAGAGAAGGAAAGAAGCGUCUUGUGUGACUCCGGCGGCAAGGAUGAAAGGGACAUGGCUGUUCAUUGGAUCCGGGUAUGCCUCUGGUGAUGCCUAAGGCUCCUCUGGACGGUGGGUUGCUGUGAAGAUGGUGAUGGCGGUGAGAGAUUCUCUUGUUCUGGUGGCUAAGCCCCAUGAUUAUGUAGCUUCGGCAGGGCAGUGGUUCAGCCUGAGUCAAUCAGAGGCAUUAACAGGAAAGGGGAUGGCGAAUUAAAAGAAAAAAUGUUUUGUUGUGUUUUUUUUUGUCAAAUGAGAGAAGAAGUAAACAAGAGUGUGGGUUUGUGGGGUGGUGGAGAAGGGAGGUUUAUGUUGAUAACAUGAGAGAUUAUGAAAAGUAAUGAGUAUGUUUGACGGAGAG